rnacentral:lncRNA from 1 species
GGCAACAUAUGCUUUUCUAGUUUGUCUACAAAAAGCUUUCCCCACAAGGGGCUUGUUCUCUAUUCAUGGCACCCACUUACCACAAGAAGGUGUUUACUUAUAGCUGGUUAACAGGAAGAGUCAAUAUUUUUUUGAGACAUAACCCUGGUGAAAGCAAAAGUAAAUCCAGUAAUUUUUAAGAGACAGUGCCACAAACCAUUCUGUUAAAUGGGAAGAAGAUGGGCUCACUCUCUCUCUCUCUCUCUCUUUUUUUUUUUUUUUUGUGGUCACACCCAUGGCAUAUGGUAGUUCCUGGGCCAGGGAUUGAAUCCAAGCUGCAGCUGCAGCUGCAGCCUACACCGCAGCUGUGGUAACACCAGAUCCUUUAACCAAUUACACUGGGCUGUGGAUGGAACCUGUGCCUCCACAGCAGCCUGAGUCACUGCAGUCAGAUUCUUAACUCACUGUACCACAGCGGGAACUACAAAGAGGUGCUGUUUUUAAGAACUAGUAGUACGGGUUGAUUUUCCAUAAAAGUGUUUACAUCUGUGUUGUCUUUUUAUGGUAAGUUGCAAGUGUUUUGACAAGACUUGAUAAUCGCUACAACAUUUUACAGUGAGUAGACUAGAGCUGACAAUACACUGUGAUGGUGGUAAAGAGUUCCUAUUUCUAGAUUCAUGAAUUUUCAGUGGAUUCAGCAAUUGUUUUUUGACUCUCUAUGUGCCUGAUUCUCAUCUGAGUCCUGAGGAUAUGGCAGAUAAGAAAAGAGACAAUGCCUAGUCCUUGUGGAACUUACAUUUAAUUGAUGAGACAAACAGUAAACAAUGUAAAUAUGUGAAUGAUGUGAUAUUUCAGAUGGAGAAAUGCUAUGGAAAAAAUAAGGCACCCCAGGGGUUAGGGAGUGCUGGUGUGAGGGCCCAAGAAAUAGCAACAACAAAAGACAAAAGACAAAAAAAAAAAAAAAAAAGACAUCCACAGGUGGAGUAGGUUCUCUGCUUGAGUAAUUUUGGCUUGAAAAUGUCACCAAAGAUUAAAGAUUUUUUUUCUGUCUUUCUCUUCUGUCAUCUUUGGAAUUUUGGUCUUGGCCUCAGGCUGGUUCCUCUUGUAGUUAUAAUAUGACUCCAGCAAAUCUAAGUGGGUUUUCUAUUUAUAGUGUAUGUCAUGGGGGUGGAUGGUGAGGUAGAAAGAGAGAGAGAUCAUGGAACAUUCUUAAAGCCCUUAAAAGCCUUUCAUUUUGUCUCAUUGAAUCCAUCCUGGACCAAAAUCAGUAAUGGGGGAUACCAUGCGCUUAGUGCCUGACAGACAGUCAGCAUCACCAUCUAGAGCUGGGAAUGCAGUUGAUAUCUGAGUAAAAUGGAAUUCUUUAGAAAAGAAGAAAUGGGCGCUGGGCAAGUAAUAAUCAGGGUCAGAAUAAUCUUAGAAGUCUCGUGCAUGAAACAAUAUAAAACAUUUCAUACCGACCAAGAUGGCUAUUAUCAAAAAAAAAAUAGAAAAUAAAAAUAUUGGCAAGGAUUUAGAGAAAUUGGAGCCCUCGUAGAUUACUGAUGGGAGUGUAAAAUGGUGUAGCCAUUGCAGAAUGGUUUAGCAGUUUCUCAAAAAAGUUAAACAUAGAAUUACCAUAGAUCCAGCAAUUCUACUCCUAGGAAUAUACCUAAAAGAACAGAAAGCAAGGGCUUAAAACGAUACUUGAACACUCAUGUUCCUAGUAGCAUUACUCACAAUAGCUAAAAGGUGGAAAUAACUUGUGUCCAUCAGCAGAUGAAUGGAUAAACAAGAUGUGGUAUAUAAUACAAUGUGAUAUUGAACCACAAAAAGUAUUGAAGUUCUGAUACAUGCUGUUUAACAAGGAGGACCCUUGGAGUUCCUGUUGCAGAAAAGCAGUAAGGACCCUAAUAAUUUUUAUGAGGAUUCGUGUUCGCUCACUGGCCUCGCUUAGUGGGUUGAGGAUCCUGCAUUGCCUCAAGUGGCUGUGGUGUAGGUCCCAGAUGCACUUUGGAUCCUGUGUUGCUGUGACUGUGGCAUAAACUGGCAGCUGCAGUUCUGAUUUGACCCAUAGUGUGGGAACUUCCAUAUGCCACACCUGUGGCCCUAAAAUAAAUGUACAUACCUUGAAAACUUUAUGCUAAGUGAAAUAUGCCAGACAUAGAAGGAUACCUGUUCUGUGAUUCUUUUCUUUUUUUUUUUUUUUUAAAUUUAUUUUAAGUGAUUUUUAUUUCCAGUGUUAACUUUUUCUCUUUUUUUUUUUUUUCUUUUAUGGGGCCGCACCCGCAGCAUAUGGAGGUUCCCAGGCUAGGGGUCUAAUCAGAGCUGUAGCCGCCAACCUACGCCAGAGCCACAGCAACGCCAGAUCGGAGCAGCAUCUGCGACCUACACCGCAGCUCACGGCAAUGCCAGAUCCUUAACCCACUGAGCUAGGCCAGGGAUUGAACCCGCAACCUCAUGGUUCCUAGUCGGAUUCAUUUCCGCUGAGCCACGACGGGAAACUCCAUGAUUCUUAUAUAAAGUAUCCAGAAUAGGCAAAUUCAUGCAUUAGAAAGUAGAAUAGAAUUACCAGGAGCUGGGCAAAAGGGUAAAUAGACAGUUGUUUAUUGGAUACAGAGUUUCUGUUUGGGAUGAUGAAGACAAUUCAGGAAGUAAUGGUGAUACUUACACAACACUGUGAAUGUGCUUAAUGCCACCAAAUUGCACAUUAUAAAUGGUUGCCGUGGCAAAUUUUGUUAUGUAUAUUUGACCACACAAAAGAACUAUGCAUAACCAACUUGAGGUCACAUGUUAGUCACUUUAGGAGCUUGUAAAUAAGCUUCUUCGCUGUCCUCCUUAUCCUGUACACCAAUAAAGGAGGGACCAAAUUUGGAGUAAACAUCUCAUGCCAACUACCAAUGUCUGGUACCAAUUCCCAAAGAACAACUCUCAAAUGUUGGUGUUUAUUCCCCAUUUAAAACAAAAAUGAAACAAACUUGGUUUCUGUAGUCAUAUAAGCUUCUGAUAAACUAAAUUCCGUCAUUCCUAUAAAAUAAAUAUUACCACCAAACAGAGGGGCAACGUAAGCUACAUCUUUCCAUGAGUUUCUAGUCUUGAUAUUUAUUCUCAAAUUUCUUCAUCAACUUACUGAUAAGUUGGAAGGAAGCCCAGGUAUUGAGGAAAAUCCUGGAUCUCUCUUGCUUUAUUUUCUGAAUGAAAUAAAUAACGUAUAUAGUUCUGAAAUGGAGAUGGACAUGAAAGCCUUAUUUUUGGUUGUAAGAAAACAGGAAAUAACUAAAUGAGUUUUGAUCCUUUAUAUUGGACAUAGGACCUUCUUACCUGCCUGCCUCUGUUUUCAAACAAUUUGGAUGCAGAAAUUCCGAGCUCUUAUAGCUCUUUCACUGAAGCUCGUUAGAAUAGGGCAAUAACUACUUCUAAAAUGCUCUCUCAGCUCAGAAUUCUUUUUUUUUUUUUUUUUUUUUUUGUAUUGAAAACCAAAUAAAUGCAUGUUAUAGACUCUUAAAGCACUAAGGGAGGACAAAUAUCUGAUUGAUCUACUCAUUUUAAAGAAUUAGGCACUUGAUGCCUAUGGCUCAGAGCUACUUAUAAUCCCAGUAUCUUGUGAAUGGUUAGUGGUACAACAAAGCCCGGGAUGUGGGUUAUUUGUUCUUUUUAGUUGGAUUUAGUCAAAUAGUCAAAAGAUUAUGACGAGACUGUAUUAAAAAUAUAGAGCUAUAAUAUGAUAACAUCAUACCAACCCUUGGUUUUCAUGCCAGUAUCAUUCUAUAAGAGGAAGGAUGCCUAUUUGGCCAGGGCCUCCACUCACAGAAGAUCUAGAAUCUUUUCUUUUUUUCCUUAAGGGCCGCACCUGUGGCUUAUGGAAGUUCCCAGGCUAGGGGUUAAAUCAGAGCUGUAGCUGCUGGCCUACAUCAAUCACAGCCAUAGCAAUGCCAGAUCCAUACCCUGUCUGCAACCUACACCACAGCUCAUGACAGUACUGGAUCCUUAACCCUCUGAGCCAGGCCAGGGAUUGAACCCACAACCUCAUGGACACCAGUCGGGUUUGUUUCCACUGAGCCACACCGGAACUCCCUGGAAUCUUAGGUUUAGAUGUUUCUCCUUAAUUUUCUCUGGGGAGUACAAGGAUAUUACCUAAUCUUUUCAGGUUAAAAGUGUCAAUAUGUUAAUAUAGGAAGUAUUUUAAAAACCUCUUUUUGGCAUUUUUUCCACUUUUAAUGUCUCAGAUUCUCAAAGUGGACAUCACUGGAAUCUUUCUGGAGCCCUGAGUGGUCUUGUCUGUAGCUGUUGGCCACAUAGGCAUGUGCUGCUCACUGUGGAGAAGUAUGCUCUGCUGUUUGAUAGCUCUCACUGUCAGAAAUUCCAGCUGUCCAGACCCCAGCCUCCUGACUCAUAAUAGGCUUUCAGAAUCGCUCAGGACUCAAGAGUAACUGAACCAAAUCUAGAAACCGUUAGAAGAAACCAGCACGUCAGAGAAGAGCACAGGUUGUGGAUUAGAGAAGUUUCACUGGAUGAUGCACAGAUUGGCUGUCGAUAUUUUUAAAGGACCUGUGAAACCCGAGAAGCAUUCAAGGGGCGGGGAUGAGGCAGAAGCUACCAAGAAAAGAAAAGCAGAGGAGAAGAAGGAAGAGAGUGGGCGAAGAGGAGCAGCAGAAGUGAAGAAAGAGGACCAGGGAGAGGGAUGGCAGAGAGUGGGCUCUCUGAAGAGAGAACACCCAGAACCCUGAAAAUUAGCAUUCUGUGAGGGAAUAUCAUGCCUCUACAGUGUGGUGUGUGGAUGGGGCAGGGGAGCAGGCAACGGAGAAGGUGCACUGGAACUUCAUCUCAACCAUCAAUCCAAAGCCAUAGCAGCCAUCACACUUCAGCACUUUAUACAAGAUGAACUUGAUGGAAGUGUUAUGGGUUGCAUUUUGAUAGCUUUGUAAUGGAUCAAUCAGACUAAAUUGAAAGAAAAAAAAUCGUCUUUAGUUACCUCAGUUGAAACAAAGCCAUGUACUUUAAAGAAAAAUGCAGAGUGGGAGUGGAUCUUCAAAGCUGUGGGGCUCAAGGCAUCUUUAAAGAUGAAUGUCCUUCCCUUCUGGCCCCUUCCUCUCUAUCCCUCUCUUCUCUCCCCUUCCCCUCCUCCCUCUGUCUCAGCAGACUCUUCACAUCUAAUUUACUCUCUGUUCACCACCAAGUGACUUCAUCCUUCUCCUCUCUGUAUCUUUUCUGGUCCCUCCAAACUUUGGAUUACACAUGGCAUUAUGUCACCAUUAGCUCACUGCUGACUGGCACAGUUCUUCGGUGUUUCCCUUUAUACAUUUUGGAAACGAAGAUGCCAAACGGCUUAACUCACCCUUUCAGAGCUACACGAUGUGUCAUAUGCUAGAUUAUAAGUCUUCUGGCCGUUCAUCUUGGUGCCAAUUUUCAAGCUUCUCACCUGGGGGCAGGGCCAGGGUAGGGGCACAGUGGUAUGAAAUGUAGGUGCUUAGGCAAAGGAGAUGCCUAAGUGGUUGGGAUGAGAAAUUACCCAGGAGAGAUCCUCAGACAUCUCUAGUGCAGGCAUAGCUGCAAAGCAUUGUAAGAUAAUGGGCACAAAUGGGGUAGAACAGUGCUGAGUUGUAAUGCUGUCGAAUACUGUGGGUGCAACACAGUCUCCAGACUCCGUUUGUAAAAGACAAGACCAGGCACAUAGGAAAGUUGUGUUAGCUGUAAAAGAACAAACAAACAUUUGAAAGGUUGAUGAAUCACUGCACAUUCGUUCAUCUCCCUUAUACGAUAUCAAAUCUCAGAAAGGCAGCUGUUCACAUUUUCGGGUGCCUGGUAAAUCUUCUCAAGCGGCUGAGGAUUCAAUAUCAUGCAUAUGACAAAAUUAGGCAAGUCAACUGUGUGUUACAUGAGUGGCUCAUUUCGCCUGAUGUUCUAUUGCAUUUGCAGCUGCAGCUGCGUCUCAGACACGUAACAUUAACUGAUGUUCAUAAUGAUAACACUGAGUCAUUAAGAAAACCUGUAUUAUGUCUGGUACAGUAGACUUGAGAAGUAGAGAGAUGCAGUGGAGAAAGAACUAAGAUUCAGGAGUUCCUGCUUAAUUGCAGACGUGGAGAGAGGUGAGCUGCUUAUGCCUUUGCCCUUCAGCAACGGGAUUCCUGUGAGGCAGGCACAGUGAUACCCAUUCUACAGCUGAGAAAACAUGUUUAGAUGUGUUAGUAAAUUGUACAGAAUCCGGUUAGGAACGCAAAUCCAUCUUACUCCAGAACUUGCGUUCUCUCCUUACACCACCAAAUUUGCUGGGUGUUUUCGUUUGUUUGUUUGUUUUUGUUUUUGGUAGAGUCUAACAUGUGGCACAGAUGAUGUUAUCUACAAAACGGAAACAGAUCAUGGCCAAGGAGAGUACAUUUGUAGUUCCCAGGGAGGACAGCGGAGGGAGUGGAAUGGGCGGGCAGUUCCAGGUUUUUGGAUGCAAACUCUUAUAUUUGAAAUGGAUGAGCAAUGGGACCCUACAGGACAGCACAGCACAGGGAAAUGUGUGUGCCCGGGGUCACAUUGUUGUACAACAGAAAUUGAAGAAAUGUAAAUCAAUUACACUUUAAUAAAAAAAAAAAAAAA